GCCAGCAGCUAGCUCUCUGAAACUCUUAUAUGGUUGCCCACUGAAGCUAAGCAGGUCUGUGCCAGGUCAGUACCUGGAUGGGGCAGUACCACAUGGGAAAGCUAGGUUGCUGCUAGAA
rnacentral:rRNA from 1 species